rnacentral:rRNA from 1 species
GGAGGAUACCCUCGAGAAAUUGGGGUUAAACCUGCAUAUUCUUUUCGAAGGAAAGGCGGCCUCUUGCUGCCGCCGAGGGAUGAGCUUGCGUCUUAUUAGCUUGUUGGUGGGGUAAUGGCCUACCAAGGCGAUGAUGAGUAGCCGGCCUGAGAGGGUGUACGGCCACACUGGGACUGAGAUACGGCCCAGACUCCUACGGGAGGCAGCAGUGGGGAAUUUUGUGCAAUGGGCGAAAGCCUGACACAGCGACGCCGCGUGGAGGAUGAAGGUUUUCGGAUCGUAAACUCCUGUUAAGUGGGAAGAAAGCCUCUUGUUUAAUAUGCGAGAGAGAUGACGGUACCACUAGAGAAAGUCCCGGCUAACUUCGUGCCAGCAGCCGCGGUAAUACGAGGGGGACAAGCGUUAUUCGGAGUAACUGGGCGUAAAGAGCGCGUAGGCGGCUUCUUAAGUCAGUUGUAAAAUCCCACGGCCUAACCGUGGGCUCGCGAUUGAUACUGAGGAGCUAGAGAUUGGAAGAGAGGGGUGGAAUUCUCGGAGUAGCGGUAAAAUGCGUAGAUCUCGAGAGGAACACCGAUGGCGAAGGCAGCUCCUUGGUCCAAUACUGACGCUAAAGCGCGAAAGCGUGGGUAGCAAACAGGAUUAGAUACCCUGGUAGUCCACGCCGUAAACGAUGAUCACUAGAUGUGGGACUCCUUCGGGGGUUCCGUGUCGAAGCUAACGCGUUAAGUGAUCCGCCUGGGGAGUACGGUCGCAAGACUAAAACUCAAAGGAAUUGACGGGGGCCCGCACAAGCGGUGGAACAUGUGGUUUAAUUCGACGCUACGCGAGAAACCUUACCUAGACUUGACAUGCUACUGACAGCUCUUGAAAGAGGGCCUCCUAGCUUGCUAGGCUGUAGCGCAGGUGCUGCAUGGCUGUCGUCAGCUCGUGUCGUGAGAUGUUGGGUUAAGUCCUUUAACGAGCGCAACCCUUGUCGUUAGUUGCUAGUCUUCGGACGCACUCUAGCGAGACUGCCUGGGGAACCAGGAGGAAGGUGGGGAUGACGUCAAGUCCUCAUGGCCUUUAUGUCUAGGGCAACACACGUGUUACAAUGGCAGGUACAGAGGGGAGCUAUCCCGCGAGGGGGAGCAAAUCCUUAAAGCCUGUCUAAGUUCGGAUUGGAGUCUGAGAUUCGACUCCAUGAAGCUGAAAUCGCUAGUAAUCGCGCAUCAGAACGGCGCGGUGAAUACGUUCCCGGGCCUUGUACACACCGCCCGUCACACCACGAAAGUUGUCUGUACCCGAAGUCGUCUUAGCUAACCGUAAGGAGGCGGACGCCUAAGGUAUGGGCGGUGAUUGGGGUGAAGUCGGAACAAGGUA